rnacentral:rRNA from 1 species
UACAGAGGGGGCAAGCGUUGUUCGGAAUUACUGGGCGUAAAGGGCGCGCAGGCGGCUGCUCAAGUCAGGCGUGAAAGGCCUGGGCUCAACCCGGGAAUUGCGCUUGAGACUGGGCUGGCUUGAGUGCGGGAGAGGAUGGUGGAAUUCCCAGUGUAGAGGUGAAAUUCGUAGAUAUUGGGAAGAACACCGGUGGCGAAGGCGGCCAUCUGGACCGCAACUGACGCUGAGGCGCGAAAGCUAGGGGAGCAAACGGG